AGAAUCAACGCUGGCGGCGUGCCUAACACAUGCAAGUCGCACGAGAAAGGGUAGCAAUACCUGAGUACAGUGGCGCACGGGUGAGUAACACGUGAAUAAUCUACCUCCGAGUGGGGAAUAACUGAGAGAAAUCUUAGCUAAUACCGCAUAAUACCCACGGGUCAAAGCAGCAAUGCGCUUGGAGAGGAGUUCGCGGCAGAUUAGUUAGUUGGCGGGGUAAUGGCCCACCAAGACGAUGAUCUGUAUCCGGCCUGAGAGGGCGCACGGACACACUGGAACUGAAACACGGUCCAGACUCCUACGGGAGGCAGCAGUGGGGAAUUUUGCGCAAUGGGGGAAACCCUGACGCAGCAACGCCGCGUGGAGGAUGAAGCCCCUUGGGUGUAAACUCCUUUCGAUCGGGAAGAUAAUGACGGUACCGAUAUAAGAAGCCCGGCUAACUUCGCGCCAGCAGCCGC
rnacentral:rRNA from 1 species